rnacentral:tmRNA from 1 species
GGGGGCGUACCGGCUUCGACGUGAGCGGUCAGCGUCCCGUGAGACGAGUCGAGUUUGCUGGAGACUCGCUAAACGCCGGCAGAAAAACACACGCCGAAAAUGACUUGGCACUGGCUGCUUAACUAAACUAGCAGCCCAUCGGUCCGGGAGGCCCACGGCCUGGGUACCGGUGUCAUCUAGUGGGAUCACCCUUUGGGUCCUGGCCCGGGACUCUUAGGGGACACUUUAAGGGCUAGCCUCUCUGCGACGCCCCGGUUCGCAGAGUAGGGCGAAACUAAACCGGGAGCGACACUCGUAGAAUCUCACGGAUGGCGCGUUCGCGGACGCGGGUUCGAAUCCCGCCGCCUCCACUA